rnacentral:rRNA from 1 species
AAUACAUCGGAACGUGCCCUGUAGUGGGGGAUAACUAGUCGAAAGAUUAGCUAAUACCGCAUACGACCUGAGGGUGAAAGCGGGGGACCGCAAGGCCUCGCGCUACAGGAGCGGCCGAUGUCUGAUUAGCUAGUUGGUGGGGUAAAAGCCUACCAAGGCGACGAUCAGUAGCUGGUCUGAGAGGACGAUCAGCCACACUGGGACUGAGACACGGCCCAGACUCCUACGGGAGGCAGCAGUGGGGAAUUUUGGACAAUGGGGGCAACCCUGAUCCAGCAAUGCCGCGUGUGUGAAGAAGGCCUUCGGGUUGUAAAGCACUUUUGUCCGGAAAGAAAUGGCCUGGGCUAAUACCCCGGGUCGAUGACGGUACCGGAAGAAUAAGCACCGGCUAACUACGUGCCAGCAGCCGCGGUAAUACGUAGGGUGCGAGCGUUAAUCGGAAUUACUGGGCGUAAAGCGUGCGCAGGCGGUUUUGUAAGACAGGCGUGAAAUCCCCGAGCUCAACUUGGGAAUGGCGCUUGUGACUGCAAGGCUAGAGUAUGUCAGAGGGGGGUAGAAUUCCACGUGUAGCAGUGAAAUGCGUAGAGAUGUGGAGG